rnacentral:lncRNA from 1 species
UCGUCGGAGAAAAACGACAAUACAAAAUUUAACCAGGUACGCUGAUCUCUCUCUUGCAAUGCUAGAUUUUAAUUUCAUGAUCAUUACAUUAAUUAAUUUGUAUUUGCACGUUCAAGCUAUUAUUUGUUCAUAUCUUUGCGAAUGGUGGUUUCUUAGGAGAAUUCGCUUUCAGAUUCUUAGAUCUAAAUCCCAUCGCUAAUGAGAAUGACGAUUCGUUUCAAACAUCUUGUAUUUUUCAUUUGAUAAAUAUUCUCUAAAGAUCGCAUAGCGGAGUGGAUAUCGCGUUAGAUUCCGAAUCUAAAGGUCGUGGGUUCGAAUCCCACUGCGAUCACUCUUCAUUUUUAUUUUUUGUGUUUUCAAAAUUUUCAUUCCCAUUUUGCUUGGUUUUUUCAUCUGUAACCCAUUUGUUUACGAACAUAGUUUACUAUUGUUUUAUGGUUUGAGGGUGGGAGUUCAAAAGAUUAGAUCAAAAAGUUGCUCAAUGCAAGCAUACAAGUUCAUAAUUUACAGCCUAUGUCAAUACAUCAGUUAAAACCAUAAAAUUAUUGAAACAAACCCAAGUGGUCCUUUUCAUUCCAUAAAAUUGUUCUUUUCAUAUUUUGAAUCAUACAUUUGAGUGGAAAAGAAAACCAUAAAAAUUAUAUCUAGGCAUUUAAAGAUGGCAGUAUUUUACAGCUAUUUUGUGUGUUCAAUGAAUGAUGUAUGUCCUUACAGCUAUCAUGUUUUGUCAAGUAAUUAGCUAAAGGCAUAGGUUUGGUGCUCUCUUUCACUUGUCUGCCUAUUUUGGCUAUAUUUUUAUGAAGUUACACUUAUAUGGGAAUCCCUCAAUCGCAAGGUUCCAAGAGGUGGGUGGCUUGAAAUAUGUUACAAACACUGUUUGCCUUUAUCAAAUGUUUGGUGGCCAUCACUAAAUUUUCCCUCCGUGUUUACAUAUGUAUUACCUGAUGUUGUCAGUUGGAUGAGCAUUAAUGCGUAUUUAGAUUGGUGGUGAGAUUGGUAGAAUCACAGCGAGCCAUAAUGAUUUUGGCAAAAGCUAUACUUUAGAGCUUUGCCAAAUCACGGUGGCCACCGUGAUUUGGCCAAACUCUUCCAAUCCAAUCAUACAGGUCUCGAAUGAGAGUCUAGGGAGAUCAAGAAAAAUUCUCUUUGAUAAAAUGUGUCUUGAAUAACGUUUUUUGGAAAAUAAUUAUAGCUAAAGACACAAAUGUGAUGCUCCUCUCUGUCAGCAGUCUGCCUAUUUUGGAUAUAUUUUUGUAAAGUUGCUCUUAUUUCACGAUCCCUCAAUUGCAAGGUUCCAAAAGGUGGGCUUGAAAUAUGGUUGAAACAUUGAUUCCCUUUAUCAAAGUUUGGCGGCCAUCACUUAAUUAUCACAUGGCAUAUACGCAUUAUGGAAAUGAAUUCUCUGCAGUCAGUAGUUACUGCAGAGGUGAUCUCAGCUCUUGAAAAAGUUAAUCCAAAUCUCAAAUUCUGUUUUAACUAUCAACCAUUGGAUCUUUGUUUCUAUGGCUUCGAUUUGCUUGACAGUGUGAAUUUAGGAUUCCUUGGCGGCAGGAAUCGGGAUUCAUGUAUUACCUGAGGUUGUUAGUGGGAUGAGCAUGCAUAACUGCAUUAGAGACUCUCGAUCAUUUGUUUUAGCUUUGAAGAGGUCUGAGAUGAAACUCUUCAAUAAAAAAUGUAGUGAGAAACACUUUUUCCCUGUUUACUUUAACUGGAAUCUAAAAACUAACAGGCAUACAUGGUUUUGGAGUGUGGACACGGAUGAUGUUGAGGUUUUUCUUCCUUUUUUGGGACAGUGAUGGUCCGAUGUGACUAAUGGUGGGUUUCUAGAAAUGUCAGCAUGAAAAAGUCACAGCUAUGCUACCAGCAUUCCCAUUGUGAAGAAGAUUAUAAGGGAUUUAAAUCCUCUCCUGUUUGCAUCAAACAUGAGGGGUCAUGUUCAUCAUUUCACCUUCAAAAUUUAUUGGAUUUCAUUUACAUAUCUUAGAAGCUGUUAAACUCAAUUAAUUUUAAUUUAAUGGUGAGAUGAGAAACAUAAACCCUCUCAUGUUUGAUUCAAACAUGUGAAGAUUCAAAUCCGAUUAUAAGAAACCAUGUGAUUAUGCUGUGAAGAGUGCAUUAUACCAUCCCACAUCUGCUUUUAAUUAGAAAAUAUGAUUAAUGUAAUCAAGAUCACUGUUCUGGUGUAAAAGAAUUAUGGGAAUCACCUAGUAUAAUUUGUAGUAG